rnacentral:rRNA from 1 species
GUCCGUAGCCGGUCUGAUACAUUCGUGGGUAAAUCAACCAGCUUAACUGGUUGAAUUCUGCGAGGACGGCCAGACUUGGGACCGGGAGAGGUGUGGGGUACUCUCAGGGUAGGGGUAAAAUCCUGUCAUCCUGAGCGGACCACCUGUUGCGAAGGCGCCACACUAGAACGGAUCCGACGGUCAGGGACGAAGCCUAGGGGCACGAACCGGAUUAGAUACCCGGGUAGUCCUAGGUGUAAACGCUGUGGACUUGAUGUUGGGGGUGCUCCGAGCACUCUCAGUGUCGAAGCGAAGGUGAUAAGUCCACUGCCUGGGAAGUACGGUCGCAAGGCUGAAACUUAAAGGAAUUGCG